rnacentral:rRNA from 1 species
AGAGUUUGAUCAUGGCUCAGAUUGAACGCUGGCGGCAAGCUUCAUACAUGCAAGUCGAGCGAGAACGUUACUUCGGUAGCUAGUAAAGCGGCGGACGGGUGAGUAACGCGUAGGAAUCUACCUUUCAGCGGGGGAUAGCUCGGGGAAACCCGAAUUAAUACCGCAUACACCCUAAGGGGGAAAGAGGGCCUAUCCUUGGAAGCUCUCGCUGUUAGAUGAGCCUGCGUGAGAUUAGUUUGUUGGUGGGGUAAUGGCCUACCAAGACUACGAUCUCUAGCUGGUCUGAGAGGACGAUCAGCCACACUGGGACUGAGACACGGCCCAGACUCCUACGGGAGGCAGCAGUAGGGAAUAUUGGACAAUGGGGGCAACCCUGAUCCAGCUAUGCCGCGUGUGUGAAGAAGGCUCUAGGGUUGUAAAGCACUUUAGGUAAGGACGAAAAGAAUAUAGUUAAUACCUAUAUUCCGUGACUUAACUUACAGAAUAGGGACCGGCUAACUCCGUGCCAGCCGCCGCGGUAAUAC